rnacentral:rRNA from 1 species
GACGAACGCUGGCGGCGUGCUUAACACAUGCAAGUCGAACGGAAAGGCCCUGCUUUUGUGGGGUGCUCGAGUGGCGAACGGGUGAGUAACACGUGAGUAACCUGCCCUUGACUUUGGGAUAACUUCAGGAAACUGGGGCUAAUACCGGAUAGGAGCUCCUGCUGCAUGGUGGGGGUUGGAAAGUUUCGGCGGUUGGGGAUGGACUCGCGGCUUAUCAGCUUGUUGGGGGGGUAGUGGCUUACCAAGGCUUUGACGGGUAGCCGGCCUGAGAGGGUGACCGGCCACAAUGGGACUGAGAUACGGCCCAGACUCCUACGGGAGGCAGCAGUGGGGAAUAUUGCACAAUGGGCGGAAGCCUGAUGCAGCAACGCCGCGUGCGGGAUGACGGCCUUCGGGUUGUAAACCGCUUUCGCCUGUGACGAAGCGUGAGUGACGGUAAUGGGUAAAGAAGCACCGGCUAACUACGUG